rnacentral:rRNA from 1 species
AUUGAACGCUGGCGGCAGGCUUAACACAUGCAAGUCGAGCGAGCGGCGGACGGGUGAGUAAUGUCUGGGAAACUGCCUGAUGGAGGGGGAUAACUACUGGAAACGGUAGCUAAUACCGCAUACCAUCAGAUGUGCCCAGAUGGGCUUGGCUAGUAGGUGGGGUAAUGGCUCACCUAGGCGACGAUCCCUAGCUGGUCUGAGAGGAUGACCGGCCACACGGGAACGGAGACACGGCCCAGACUCCAACGGGAGGCAGCGGUGGGGAAUAUUGCACAAUGGGGGAAAGCCUGAUGCAGCCAGGCCGCGUGUGUGAAGAAGGCCUUCGGGUUGUAAAGCACUUUCAGCGAGGAGGCGUUACUCACAGAAGAAGCACCGGCUAACUCCGUGCCAGCAGCCGCGGUAAUAC